rnacentral:lncRNA from 1 species
GAAAAAGGCAGGAGGAGAAAACUGGAAGAAGAAUAGAGGAGGAUGAGAAUGUCCCCAUGCCAUGAAAUCUCCCGUCUCUUUCUCUUCUGCUCUAAUGAGCAUAGCAAGGAAUGAAAACUAGUGAAGUUGUAAUGAGGGUUGACUUGAAUGCAGUUCAUCACAAUGUGGAGAUUGAGGCCUCCUUCUCUGAACCAUUUAACCCUCAGCCUGGCAAGUGACUGUUCAUUUAGCCUCUCGGUAAGUAGGAUGUAUUUGUUCAGGAAAUAUGAACCUUUAAGGCAAAACAGCUUUUUUGGCCUAUAAAAUUGAAUGAUCCCCAAACGCACCAAGCAGCUUCUUUUUAUGAGUGAGCUUCCUUCCUUCUCAGGCUCAUCAAACUUAAAUUGCUAAUUAAUGAAGAUUAUUUAUCAACGAUUCCAGUAAGAAAUGUUAGGAAGGGGAAUCUAAUAGAGAACGCCAAUAAAAUACAUCAAACUCCGAAACUUUCUAGGACU